CUGCCAUUGGCAUGCGACCACUUCCCAGCCCUGUGACCAUUGCAAGUUUUGACCGCACCCAGUGGGAGGGCUCUUAAAUUCAGCAACCAGCCUUCUGGCAGGGACUACUUCGUGAGUUCAUGGGCAUGUGCAGUGAGAUAUAGUGAGGUCUACUAGGGGUAGAGAAGCCUAGCUCAUAUUGGACACCUGGGAACACAGUGCCUAUGCAGGUGCCCUGGCUUGUCCCUUGGAGUCCAUGGACCUCUAAAUUGCAUGUGACCAGGCAGAGAUUGCCCACGGAUGACCUCCUAUAUUCUGGCUUGCUGCAUAGAUAAUUUCAUUGUCUUGCGUUUCCGCUUUUCUGAUCUUUAAAAAGCAGGUAACUUGAUAAAUUUAGAGGAUUUGGUUAAAGUUGUGAGUAUACUCAGGUAAACACUGAGUAUGGUGCUUCUAGUUUUUGAAGAAAAUUCUAGUCUUUGAAGAAAAUUAUCCACCAGGGCAUCUGGAUUGGCCUCCUGGGCUUAUUUGCACAAGAAAGAUAUUCCCAUCCAGAGGGAUCUAUUGUGCACCACCUACAACCACAAGCUUGACUCUCCCUGAGGAGGCUAUUCUCCAAAUCAGUCCACUUGUUUCCCCUUUUCAUGUUCUCAAUAUUUGCUGAAGAAUAAAAAUGUACAGUCAUAUAUUUUCUAAAAUUUUCAGUACUGUUGGUGUUUCUUCACACCACCAAAGCGCAGAGUCAGUAUCAAAUUCAAGGACACAACCACUUUCAUCCGCAAUCCUACCCAUCCUUUCCCUCUCAUUGAACGUAAGGAGUUUCCUCUGGAGCUCAGAGCGUUGCUGGGGUUCUCCCUCAUCUACAACCCUGAAAUCACUUAACAACCAGCUUUCUACCUCAGGUGAUCAUCUUUAAUCUUAGGCUCUGCACUUGUGCAUCCCGUCCCUCUUCCUUUUGCAACAGAAUAAUCUGGAGACCAUGUAGGAGGUAUAGGGUAAUAUCAGCACAUUCUGUUUCAGACUCUGUGUAAGUGAUAUGGUGGCAGAAUAAG